rnacentral:lncRNA from 1 species
UAGAGAAGAGAGGGAGUGAAAACAGCGCUGAAGGGGUAAUAAUGGAUGGCAGAGGAAAAGAGAGUGUAUUGGCUGAACAGAUUAUGUUGGUGAAGGAGAGAGAGGGCAGAGUAGAGAGCGAGAGAGGGGAGAAAGAGAUAGAGAGAGAGAGCAGAAGAGAGAGAGAGAGAGAGAGAGAGAAAUUUGACCCCAAUAACUACCGUGGGAUAUGCGUCAACAGCAACCUUGGGAAAAUCCUCUGCAUUAUCAUUAACAGCACGGUUGUAAAUGUCCUCAGUGAAAUAAAACACACACAUUUCUUUCCACAGGACAUUGGGUUGAGACAGGGAUGCAGCUUAAGCCCCACCCUCUUCAACAUAUAUAUAAACGACUUGGAGAGGGCACUAGUACAGUUAGCAGUACCCGGCCUCACCCUACAGGAAUCUGAAGUCAAAUGUCUACUGU